UGCCAGCCGCCGCGGUAAUACGUAGGUGGCAAGCGUUAUCCGGAAUUACUGGGCGUAAAGCGUACGCAGGCGGCCAAUUAAGUCUGACGUGAAAGCUCCUGGCUUAACUGGGAGAGGUCGUUGGAAACUAAUUGGCUUGAGGUGAUGAGAGGGGUGCGGAAUUCCCGGUGUAGUGGUGGAAUGCGUAGAUAUCGGGAGGAACACCAGUGGCGAAAGCGGCACCCUGGCAUUAAUCUGACGCUCAUGUACGAAAGCGUGGGGAGCGAACGGGAUUAGAUA
rnacentral:rRNA from 1 species